rnacentral:rRNA from 1 species
GAUGAACGCUAGCGAUAGGCUUAACACAUGCAAGUCGAGGGGCAGCAUGGUCUUAGCUUGCUAAGACUGAUGGCGACCGGCGCACGGGUGCGUAACGCGUAUGCAACUUGCCUCACAGAGGGGGAUAACCCGUCGAAAGACGGACUAAUACCGCGUACACUCUAUUUUGGGCAUCCAAGGUAGAGGAAAUGAAAUUCGCUGUGAGAUAGGCAUGCGUCCCAUUAGCUAGUUGGUGAGGUAACGGCUCACCAAGGCGACGAUGGGUAGGGGAACUGAGAGGUUGAACCCCCACACUGGUACUGAGACACGGACCAGACGCCUACGGGAGGCAGCAGUGAGGAAUAUUGGUCAAUGGGCGAGGGCCUGAACCAGCCAAGUCGCGUGAAGGAUGACUGUCUUAUGGAUUGUAAACUUCUUUUGUAGGGGAAGAAAGAGGGGCACGUGUGCCCCAGUGAAUGUACCCUACGAAUAAGCAUCGGCUAACUCCGUG